GCCGUACACAGGCAGAACAACGAACUUAAGUAUUAAACGGAAAAAAAUGGUAAAAACAACAAAAAAUUCACGUUAUCAAGCUCCAAGGGAUUCUGCUAUUCACCAGUGCCAAGUGUGCUUUCGAUACCACUCACUUCGAUUCUGCAGAAAAUUUCUCACAAUGGACAUUACUAAACGCAACCAAGUUGUUACACGAAACAACUAUUGCCAUAAUUGCUUGGCACGUACACAUCUGGCCCAAAAUUGCAGUAGCCCAGAUACUUGCAAAAAAUGUGCGUUACCACAUCAUACGCUACUUCAUCCGAAUCAUCAUCAGCGAGAUCAACCGCCAAGACGAUCAGUUCAUCAACGUGUUGGUCAACGGAAUGCAGUAUCAAAGAGGCCAAACAAAAGGACAGUCCACAGAUAAAACUCAACCUAAUCAAAAGAUAUUGUCUGAAGCAAUCCGUUCUCUAGCUGCCGUCUUAUGUGCUACUACCAAAACCUCUUAAUUGCAAUGCUGCAAGGAGUGGCGGCAUGUUCUAAUUAGCAUAAUGCAUUUAUUAUAUUAUUAAUUUUAUAUUGAAUUUAUCUUUAAAAUAUUGAACGCAGUUUAAAAGCCAUUGAAUUUUGCAUAAUGUUAAUUACUGGAUAAAAAUAACAUUGUAACUUGUCAUUUAUAAAGCUUUUUUAUGUCAUUUAAAUUUGCCCAUUUUGUUAAAACCGAACCUUCACGAUAAGGUGUUAGUUUUAAGAAAAUUCACUUAUAUUUCUACUUCAAAAAGGUGAGCAUCUCUUGCUUAAUAAAAACAUUGAAUUUUGUAAUCCUUA